CAUAUGUUGAUCGCCAAAUGGCAGUGAAAGUGAAAUGUGAUGUGACAAGUGGCUAAAAAACACCUGAUUCGGCUAACUGGAGCAUGAAGACCAACAAAUACAUCUCCAGAAACACAUAUAUGUGUUAGCAGUGCUGGAAAUCGCCACUGAUGAUGCUUCCCAAAUAAAUGAAGCGAAACGCGUAUGGCAACAAACAAACUGCCUUCAUUUAGUUGCAUAGACGGCACAUACCUCCACGAAUUAAUUUGCCUCCCAAUACAUAUGUUAGAUAUAAAAGACAAUAAGUUACAGAUAAAAAUAAGAUGUUACCUACUUUUGGGAAAGUUUGACUAAAUGUUACUGUGUCCUGUUUGUAUAGAGCCUUUCUAUAUGUUUCACUGCUGUGUCUAUAGCUUACAGCAGUCACAGAAUUGAUAUGCAGACUUUUUUCUUAGCACAAUUUAAGUUCAACAUAAGUAACUAAAGAGAACUUCAAUCUUUCUUGUGAGCACAACUUCAUCACUUACAUAAAGCAGUUAUCAUUGUGAACUAAGAAAAUCGUAUUACAUCUCCAAUUGGAUCUUGAGUCAACACCUACAUAUUAUUUAACUGUUCCAUAUGCCUGAAUGUGUGAAACAACCAACUGGAGAUCUCAUCAACCCUACACUGUGUGUCAAGAGCUGGCUGACUUUACAGUGUGACCCUGGAGUACUACCUCUUUCCUUCAGAGUACAGCUUUUUGGUUCAAUGAGAUGGAGUGAUAUUUGGCUAUGAGCAUCUGUACCAUAUUUUCUCAAAACACAUGCAAUUAGAGAUUACAUAUACUCUUUCACAAUUCACCUCUGUCAUUCAUUAUUGUAAAAUUUUAAAAUCAAACGGUUUGGAUGGCAACUGAGAAGUGUCUGAAAAGCUGAAAAUUUGUAUUGAUCGAUGAGACAUGUUUGGAGUAUGUGUCAGAGCACUGUUUGUGAAAGACAGAAAUCCAAGUCCUUCAAUUUUAAAGUGUCUUACGCUACAAGCACAAGUCUGCUACGGCUGUUGGUUAACCAGCAAACCUGACUGCCAUAUUGAUGACACAGGAUGUGCAAUUGGUAUAGCCAGUGGUUGCCUUUGUUUGAGGACCAGACUGUGGUAAACCCCACUUGAAGAAAACAAGGAUUCAUUUGGAAGAGAAGUAAUCGCAGCAGUACCACACAUGGCAUUAAUGACUUCUGUCCGGGUUGAGAAAAAUUUUCAACUGGAUCUGCAUUAAAAAACAUCUCAGCACCAGAACAAUUUAACCAAGACACGGUUAAAAACUUCACAGCAACCACUGAUAUCAUCAUUUUCGAUGAAUGUGGACGACGAAAAUGAGUUCAGUGAAGAUCCUUGCAAGGCUUUAAUAAAAGUGAACAUCCCCUUGAAUAAGUCGGAGAAUGAAGUAUUAAAGACCUUCUUGAAAAAAUACUCAGGAAAAGAUAUUCAUCAUGACUCAACGCUCAGAAAGGACUAUGUGGAACCAUUGUAUGAAAAGACAUUGGAGAAUAUUAUGAAAGAAAUUGUCGAUUCUCCAGUCUGGCUGUCCGUUGACGAAAGUGGCCGGUAUAUGGUGCACGCCAUAGUUGGAAAACUCUCUGCUUACGAGGCUGGACGAGGACAACUCAUACUGUAGAAAGAAGUGGAACGAACGACACACGCUACGAUUGCACGCACAGUGCAGGAGGCAUUGUGCAUGCUAUGGAGAAGUGAGGACCAGAAACGUAGGGAGAACAAGGUUUUGGCCAUUGUGACGGAUAGUGCCGCAUAUAUGCUGAAGGUUGCAGAGUGCCUACGGGCGUUUUACCCUAUUUCACCUCACGUGUCUGGCUCAUGGCAUCCAUCGAGUGGCUGAAGAGGUCAGAGCCGCAUUGCCAGAGAUUAACAGCGUUAUAUCUUCGGCAAAGAAGGUUUUCAUAAAGGCACCGAGUGAGAGCUUUCAAGACUGCUCACCAUGACUGUCCUCUGCCACCUGAACCAGCCUUGACGAGGUGGGGAACGUGGAUUUCAGCUGCAAAUUAUGCAAAUUAUUAUGCAGACAACCUCAUAAAAGUUGAAGAGGUCCUAAAGGGCUUUGAAGAUAGCAAAAACUUAGCCAUUACAAAAUCCAAGGACGCUCUGAAGAGUUCUAGCGUGUUACACAGCCUAUCUUUCACCCGAGCGCAGUUUGGUGGCUUUCCAGACCUAUCUGACAAACUUGAGACUCGUAACGUGGAAGCUACGAAGGCAGUGGCUCUCGUCGAAGGACUCAGGACACAGAGUAGGAGUUGGCCAGGUCCGAUUAGUGAGAGACUUAGAAGAAAAUCAGAUGCAGUUCUUCAUAGAAAUCCUGAUUGUCGUACGAUUCGGAAGAUCGCUCAGUUACUGGAAGGAAAGAAACACUCCCAGAAUCUCGAUGAUUUUGCGUCGUCUGACGUCGCUGCUCCUAAAUUUUUAUCUGUAGUGUCAUGUGAUGUUGAACAAUAAUUUUCAAGACUGAAAAUGAGGAAAAAUUUUCAUUUAGAGAAUAUGGAAAAAAUGUUGGUAGUUCAGACAAAUUUUUGGUAUUUACCAAACUUACCAUGUAAGUACUUCAUUUUAUUCAUUGAAUUAUAGCGAUUAUUGAAAAUA